ACUGGAAACCAUUUGUUUGUUUGAGGGUUAUUUGGAGCUAUUGGGAGAUUGGAGAAUAAUCUAGGAAUCUAUUUUGAAACUUUCCCUAUUCUUCUUCCCUGGGAUAUUUUACUUGUUUACCAUUUUCUUUUCAUCUCAUUGGGAGAUCUCCAGUCCCUGCUACCCUCCAGCCUCUGAACCAACUGCACUCCAGGCCUGUGGAGCAGCUAUCGCUGAGACUGCCUGCACUGCAAUACUAGGUGAGAGACUGUUUCUCAAUCUCUUUGUCACUAACAUAUUCCCUCAUGCUCCAGCAUCUUUUAAAGACAGAAUACCUGGGAAAUAAAUGCAC
rnacentral:lncRNA from 1 species